GACGAACGCUGGCGGCGUGCCUAAUACAUGCAAGUAGAACGCCGAAGAGAGGAGCUUGCUCUUCUUGGAUGAGUUGCGAACGGGUGAGUAACGCGUAGGUAACCUGCCUUGUAGCGGGGGAUAACUAUUGGAAACGAUAGCUAAUACCGCAUAACAAUGGAUGACACAUGUCAUUUAUUUGAAAGGGGCAAUUGCUCCACUACAAGAUGGACAUGCGUUGUAUUAGCUAGUAGGUGAGGUAAUGGCUCACCUAGGCGACGAUACAUAGCCGACCUGAGAGGGUGAUCGGCCACACUGGGACUGAGACACGGCCCAGACUCCUACGGGAGGCAGCAGUAGGGAAUCUUCGGCAAUGGGGGCAACCCUGACCGAGCAACGCCGCGUGAGUGAAGAAGGUUUUCGGAUCGUAAAGCUCUGUUGUAAGUCAAGAACGGGUGUGAGAGUGGAAAGUUCACACUGUGACGGUAGCUUACCAGAAAGGGACGGCUAACUACGUGCCAGCAGCCGCGGUAACAC
rnacentral:rRNA from 1 species